AUAUCCAUGAAAUUCCGGAUGAUGGCCGCACCUGUCCGUACAUUUCCGCGGGAUUUCCUAGAAGCUCGAUGGCCGUGAUGAAGCUAGCGGCCAGCGACAUCGCCGUGGGAACCGUGCCCAUGGUGGAGCCGCCCAGCAGGAAGUCCUGGCUGGUCUCCUGCCUCUUGGCGAAGAAGCCGUAGAAAGUGCCGAUCAGACACGAGAUCAGCAGCAUUGUGCCCAACACCGUGUAAUCCGCCCAUGAGAAAUAAUGGAGCAAAGUGGGAUGCUCCUCUUGACACAACUCCUCGUUGCUUUUCACGCCGUGUCGCUGCUCCGCGGACGAGGCCGACAGGAAGAGGAACAGGAUGAAGAGAUGCCGCCGCAUUUUCGCAGAUAUCUAAAAGACUUACCUCAUAGGCGCUGGUUGCUUGCAAUUUGAAGAACACUGCAGAUACGCCAAGCAAGGUGAUGGCCGACAUGAAAGAAACCACUAAAGCAAUGGCAACAGGUACAAUUCCCAUCGAUCGACUUGCAAUAAAGUACUCCUGUAAAACAUAUCACUAUAAUGUAACGUAACAUUGAAGAAAAUAAAUUUAUUUUUAAAAAAACGUUCUUCAAAAAGAAAGAAGCGAUAUUCA